rnacentral:rRNA from 1 species
GAUGAACGCUGGCGGCGUGCCUAAUACAUGCAAGUCGAGCGAACGGACGAGAAGCUUGCUUGUCUGAUGUUAGCGGCGGACGGGUGAGUAACACGUGGAUCACCUACCUAUAAGACUGGGAUAACUUCGGGAAACCGGAGCUAAUACCGGAUGAUAUUUUGAACCGCAUGGUUCAAAAGUGAAAGACGGUCUUGCUGUCACUUAUAGCUGGAUCCGCGCUGCAUUAGCUAGUUGGUAAGGUAACGGCUUACCAAGGCAACGAUGCAUAGCCGACCUGAGAGGGUGAUCGGCCACACUGGAACUGAGACACGGUCCAGACUCCUACGGGAGGCAGCAGUAGGGAAUCUUCCGCAAUGGGCGAAAGCCUGACGGAGCAACGCCGCGUGAGUGAUGAAGGUGUUCGGAUCGUAAAACUCUGUUAUUAGGGAAGAACAUAUGUGUAAGUAACUGUGCACAGCGUGACGGUACCUAAUCAGAAAGCCACGGCUAACUACGUG